rnacentral:rRNA from 1 species
UACGAGGGGGGCAACUGUUGUUCGGAAUCACUGGGCGUAAAGGGAGCGUAGGCGGGUUCUUAAGUCAGGUGUUUAAUCCCGGGGCCCAACCCCGGACCGGCACUUUAAACUGGGAAUCUUGAAUAGUGGAGAGGUCGGUGGAAUUGGGGGUGUAGCGGUGGAAUGCGUAGAGAUCCCCAAGAACACCAGUUGCGAAGGCGGCCGACUGGACACAUAUUGACGCUGAGGCUCGAAAGCAUGGGGAGCAAACAGG